rnacentral:rRNA from 1 species
GACGGAACCGUGCGAACGUUGUUCGGAAUCACUGGGCUUAAAGGGCGCGUAGGCGGGCCAUCAAGUCAGAGGUGAAAUCCCCCGGCUCAACCGGGGAACUGCCUUUGAUACUGGCGGUCUGGAGGUAAGGUAGGGGCAUGGCGGAACUGAUGGUGGAGCGGUGAAAUGUGUUGAUAUCAUCAGGAACUCCGGUGGCGAAAGCGGCGUGCUGGACCUUACUGACGCUGAGGCGCGAAAGCCAGGGGAGCGAACGGG